AUGUCCAGUCAAGGGCAAAAAACGUUCAAGAUCCUGUGCCGCACCAAUGAGGACUACUGCAUCACCGUCCGCUGGGAUGACGACGGGGGCAUCGCGGUCGUCAUGGCGCCAACAAACCCCCGCGACCAGCAGCAGCACUGGUACAAGGACACGAGGUUCAGCUCUACGGAGGACGAGGACGGGUUCCCGGCGUUCGCGCUCGUCAACAAGGCCACCGGGUUCGCCAUCAAGCACUCGUCUGGGCAGUCUGAGCCCGUAACUCUGGUGCCGUACAAGUACGACCCAGAGGCGGUGGACGAAUCGGUGCUGUGGACGGAGAGCGACGAUGUGGGCGACGGCUUCCGCUGCAUCCGCAUGAUCAACAACAUCCACCUCAACUUCGACGCGUUGGAUGGCGUGACGGAACUCCAGGACGGCACCCCCAUCGUGCUGUGGGAGUGGCUCGAGGGGGCGAACCAGUCCUGGAUGAUCCUGCCGUGGGGCACCGACGGUGGCCUCCAUCCUGCGCUGUCCUCU
rnacentral:rRNA from 1 species